AUGGAACAAUAUUGACAAACAUCUAUUCUAUGUGCCUUAUAAUGCAGUGCGCCUUAUAUAUGAAAAAAGUUUUAAAAUAGGCCAUUCAUUGAAGGUGCGCAUUAUAAUCCGGUGCGGCUUAUAGUGCGG